rnacentral:rRNA from 1 species
AUUGAACGCUGGCGGCAGGCCUAACACAUGCAAGUCGAGCGAGCGGCGGACGGGUGAGUAAUGUAUGGGGACUGCCCGAUAGAGGGGGAUCACUACUGUAAACGGUGGCUUAUACCGCAUACUAUCGGAUAACCCAUAUGGGAUUAUCUAGUAGGUGGGGUAAAGGCUCACCUAGGCGACGAUCUCUAGCUGGUCUGCGCGGAUGAUCAGCCACACUGGGACUGAGACACGGCCCAGACUCCGACGGAGGCAGCAGUGGGUAAUAUUGCACAAUGGGCGCAAGCCUGAUGCAGCCAUGCCGCGUGUAUGAAGAAGGCCUUAGGGUUGUAAAGGACUUUAAGCGGGGAGGCGUUACCCGCAGAAGAAGCACCGGCUAACUCCGUGCCAGCAGCCGCGGUAAUUC